rnacentral:rRNA from 1 species
AUUGAACGCUGGCGGCAGGCCUAACACAUGCAAGUCGAACGGUAACAGGAAGAAGCUUGCUUCUUUGCUGACGAGUGGCGGACGGGUGAGUAAUGUCUGGGAAACUGCCUGAUGGAGGGGGAUAACUACUGGAAACGGUAGCUAAUACCGCAUAACGUCGCAAGACCAAAGAGGGGGACCUUCGGGCCUCUUGCCAUCGGAUGUGCCCAGAUGGGAUUAGCUAGUAGGUGGGGUAACGGCUCACCUAGGCGACGAUCCCUAGCUGGUCUGAGAGGAUGACCAGCCACACUGGAACUGAGACACGGUCCAGACUCCUACGGGAGGCAGCAGUGGGGAAUAUUGCACAAUGGGCGCAAGCCUGAUGCAGCCAUGCCGCGUGUAUGAAGAAGGCCUUCGGGUUGUAAGGUACUUUCAGCGGGGAGGAAGGGAGUAAAGUUAAUACCUUGGCUCAUUGACGUUACCCGCAGAAGAAGCACCGGCUAACUCCGUG